UAACGAUACGGGACUCAUCCGAGGCCCCGUAAUCGGAAUGAGUACACUUUAAAUCCUUUAACGAGGACCCAUUGGAGGGCAAGUCUGGUGCCAGCAGCCGCGGUAAUUCCAGCUCCAAUAGCGUAUAUUAAAGUUGUUGCGGUUAAAAAGCUCGUAGUUGAAUCUGUGUGCCACGCUGUCGGUUCAUCGCUCGCGAUGUUUAACUGACAUGAUUGUGGGACGUCCUACCGGUGGGCUUAGCUCCUCACGGGGCGGUCCAGCUAAUAUCCCAUCGCGGUGCUCUUUGCCGAGUGUCGAGGUGGGCCGGUACGUUUACUUUGAACAAAUUAGAGUGCUCAAAGCAGGCUAUGUUCGCCUGAAUACUCGUGCAUGGAAUAAUGGAAUAGGACCUCGGUUCUAUUUUGUUGGUUUUCGGAACCCCGAGGUAAUGAUUAAUAGGGACAGAUGGGGGCAUUCGUAUUGCGACGUUAGAGGUGAAAUUCUUGGAUCGUCGCAAGACGGACAGAAGCGAAAGCAUUUGCCAAAAAUGUUUUCAUUAAUCAAGAACGAAAGUUAGAGGUUCGAAGGCGAUCAGAUACCGCCCUAGUUCUAACCAUAAACGAUGCCAGCUAGCGAUCCGCCGAAGUUCCUCCGAUGACUCGGCGGGCAGCUUCCGGGAAACCAAAGCUUUUGGGUUCCGGGGGAAGUAUGGUUGCAAAGCUGAAACUUAAAGGAAUUGACGGAAGGGCACCACCAGGAGUGGAGCCUGCGGCUUAAUUUGACUCAACAC
rnacentral:rRNA from 1 species